UAUUAUUAUUAUUAUUAAUUCUCUGGCCGCUUCCACCCUCUCUUUCCCAUAUAUUAUGAUACUAAAGAAUUGGAAAAAAAAAGAGAGCUCAGAUCGAGAGCAGGGGGGAGAGAGACAAUGAUAUCUCUUCCCCACCUCUUGUCUGCUUUCCUCCGCUAAGCCCGCCAAACCUCACGAGCUCGCCGCCGGAACCCGAGGCGAUGCAGGAGGACCGCCGGCCGGAAUCCGGCAGCGCUACAACGAACGCCUCCGAGAAGGCGGUUCGAUCGCCGCUCGACAAGCCCCUUAGCCAGCUCACCGAAGAGGACAUCGCGCAGCUCACCCGCGAGGACUGCCGCCGAUUCCUUAAAGAAAAAGGCAUGCGGCGGCCGUCCUGGAACAAGUCGCAGGCGAUCCAGCAGGUCAUCUCGCUCAAGGCCCUCCUCGAGGGCCGACUCGACUCCGGCGACCACCCCGCCGGCCCCGGCUUCCGCCAGAAGCCUCCACCUCCGCCGCCGGUAACCCCACCGCACGCCUCUCUUCCUUCGCCGCUGGAGGAGGCGGGCAGCGACUUGCCGGCGCCAGCGGAGGAGCCAUCGCCGUCGCCGUACCGGAGGAGAGAUCCGAUCCCGCCGGUCUUCUUUGCCGGCGAGCCGUCCUGCCGGUUCCCGGUCGCCGUGAGGGACCAGCAACCGCCGGAGAUUCCCUCCCCUUCGCCCAGGGUGCCGGAGGAAGCACCGACGGGCCAGAUGACGAUCUUCUACGACGGCAAGGUGAACGUCUACAGCGACGUGACGGCCGAUAAGGUAGCGCUCGACCCGAACCCGAACUGUUUCGGGCGGCCUGACUCGGUUCGGUUUAUUUUCGUUGUUCUGGGUUUGCUUGCUUGCAGGCGCGGGCGAUCAUGCUUCUCGCGGCGAGCCGGGACUGCUACGACGCUGCGGCUCAACCCGGUCCGGUUCACUCUACGCGGCCUGUCCUCGCCCGCUUUCCCCCUGCUUUUCUCGGACCGGGCCCGGGCCCAGUCCCCACCGCUUCGCCGCUGGCCGCGGCUUUCCCCACCUCGCCAGCUGCCGUUUGAUCUUGAUCGGACGUCUGUGGAAUUGAGAUGCAGGGAGGUUACCCCACCAUUUCCGGGAGGCAGCGGACGCCACCGAGUGGAGAGCUGCACGAGAUAUCGAGCCCGAGGGUCCAACAAGUAGAAAAGCAUCGUUGCAGAGGUAUCGCGAGAAAAGGAAGGACAGGUUUAAAGGAAAGAAAACUCUUGGAGGGCCACCUGCAAACAUGGAGAUGAUGUACUUGAGCCAAAAGUUCAGGGGUCAGAUACCAAAUGAGCAGUUAAGUCGGAGUGACACUAGCUCCCCUACCCAGCCUAGACCACCUUGCACACCAACUAGGUGCAGUUCAAUAGAGUUCCAGACUCAGAAACAUCAUAUCUCGAUUGAUCUUAAUGAUGACGGUGGUGGCAAAUGAAUAGCCUACUUGACAUCGGUCAUUCUGUGAUCAUCUAUCUGAUCCACUGACACAGAGAUGGGUUUCAAUACCUUAAGUGGAAUAGCAGACCAUUGGUUCCACAUUGUUUUGAGAUGCAAAAUCCACCUAAUCUAAAAUCAUGCCCUUAUUUUGGCUUAAAUUUCGAUAUCUAAGAAGCUUGGCUUUGCUUCAUUAAGGCUGUUGCAACCUUGAUCAGCUGGCAACAAAGAUUUUGGAUCAGAAUACCAUGGUAAGUUCAGGACUAGAAGAAAAAGAGUUGAGGAUCAUCAUUAGCCUUUGUGCAUACCAGAAACUGGCCAAGAGUUCCAGCAUUUUUCGUUCUAUGAACUUGGCUCCUAUCAAUCCAAGAUCACAGCCAUAGGCCCGUGACUGGUUUGAGUUUGAUCACCUGAUUUUGCUAGAGAAAAAGAGUUCCAGUUAUUCUACAACUAAGAUAUCUUACCAGGUUAACACUAGGCCUAUGUGUUAGCUGAGUUGCAAUGUAUGAAAAAAAUUGAACUCAAAGUACUUGUAAGAUGCUAGCUCUGUAGCCUCCUAACUUACAGGUACCUUUGCUAGGCUAAGUAGGAGAUUUUUUUAUUAUUCUUAUUUUAAUCAGCAUUUGCAUGGUCCAAAUUUGCUUAUGUUUUGGAGAAUUUAUUUUGCAAGAUCCUUAAUUUUGGCGAAUUGUUUAUUUUGCUUUUAAGGAAUAUGAAGGGAAUGUCACCUUGGUUUGAACCCAGAGCUUCUCCACAGUACAUGGCCAACUAGAGGUACGCCAACCAGCAGAACCAAGCCCCAUUAGUUUGACUCCUUCCUAUAGUAGGGUUUUGAACAAUUGAGAUAGUUUGUAAGUCUGAUGAAUUGUCCCUCAAAUUAAUCAUUUCUUUCCAAUACUGUAUCAGUUUCUCAAUAUGAGGAUGAAUUCGGAGACCUUGAGUUUUUAAACA